CACGAUAGUAGCUGCUAGUGAUUGUCCGGAAACGUUCCUGACCCGCAGUGUCCCACUAUAUGGUAAAAAAAUGUAGAAAAAUCUGUCAACAAUUACAAAAGAGAGUAAAGCAACAAUCCCAAAAAAAUGGGACAGGUGUAACAAAUAAUUUCCUACUUUUUUCAUGGAUAACCUUAAGCUCUCAAAUAUUACAGUUUGGCCCGACCUACUACAAAAUUGGUGACAGAAAACAACUUGGAUUGAGCGUCUUGGUAAAUGAACUACAUUAUUAUUACAUUAAGCAUAAACAAAGAGAUUCUUGAAUACGUGAGUGAUAAACUCGGAUUGAGCAUUUUUUCUAAGCACACCGAAAUUGAUUAUAUAGGUAUUCUAGUAAG
rnacentral:lncRNA from 1 species